rnacentral:rRNA from 1 species
UAAGGAAUAUUGGACAAUGGAGGCAACUCUGAUCCAGCCAUGCCGCGUGAAGGAAUAAGGCCCUAUGGGUUGUAAACUUCUUUUAGACGGGACAAAACCCCUUUACGUGUAAAGGGUUGAUGGUACUGUCAGAAUAAGCAUCGGCUAACUUCGUGCCAGCAGCCGCGGUAAUACGAAGGAUGCAAGCGUUAUCCGGAAUUAUUGGGUUUAAAGGGUGCGUAGGCGGACUAAUAAGUCAGUGGUGAAAGCCUGCAGCUUAACUGCAGAAUUGCCAUUGAUACUGUUAGUCUUGAGUACAGUUGAGGUAGGCGGAAUGUGUCAUGUAGCGGUGAAAUGCUUAGAUAUGACACAGAACACCGAUUGCGAAGGCAGCUUGCUAAGCUGUAACUAACGCUGAGGCACGAAAGCGUGGGGAGCAAACA